UACGAAGGGGGGCUAGCGUUGUUCGGAAUUACUGGGCGUAAAGCGCACGUAGGCGGCUUUGUAAGUUAGAGGUGAAAGCCCCGGGCUUAACCUGGGAACUGCGUUUGAUACGGAUGGGCUAGAGUUCGGGAGAGGAGAGUGGAAUUCCCAGUGUAGAGGUGAAAUUCGUAGAUAUUGGGAAGAACACCGGUGGCGAAGGCGGCUCUCUGGACCGAGACUGACGCUGAGGCGCGAAAGCGUGGGGAGCAAACAGG
rnacentral:rRNA from 1 species